GAGUUUGAUCAUGGCUCAGAACGAACGCUGGCGGCGUGCCUAACACAUGCAAGUCGUACGAGAAAAUUCGCUUCGGCGGAUGAGUAAAGUGGCGCACGGGUGAGUAACGCGUGGAUAAUCUUCCCUUUAGUCUGGGAUAACUCACCGAAAGGUGAACUAAUACUGAAUAAUACUGUUUCUGCUAAGGCGGAGCAGUUAAAGAGGACCUCUGUAUACAAGUUCUUGCUAAAGGAUGAGUCCGCGUACCAUUAGCUAGUUGGUAGGGUAAUAGCCUACCAAGGCGACGAUGGUUAGCUGGUCCGAGAGGAUGAUCAGCCACACUGGAAUUGAGAUACGGUCCAGACUCCUACGGGAGGCAGCAGUGAGGGAUUUUGCGCAAUGGGGGAAACCCUGACGCAGCAACGCCGCGUGAGUGAGGAAGGCCUUCGGGUCGUAAAGCUCUGUCAGAUGGGAAGAAAUGCGGGAAUGUCAAUAGCUUUCCCGCUUGACGGUACCAUCAGAGGAAGCACCGGCUAACUCCGUGCCAGCAGCCGCGGUAAUACG
rnacentral:rRNA from 1 species